AUUGAACGCUGGCGGCAUGCCUUACACAUGCAAGUCGAACGGUAACGGGCCUUCGGGUGCCGACGAGUGGCGAACGGGUGGGUAAUGUAUCGGAACGUGCCCAGUAGUGGGGGAUAGCCCGGCGAAAGCCGGAUUAAUACCGCAUACGACCUACGGGUGAAAGGGGGGGAUCGCAAGACCUCUCGCUAUUGGAGCGGCCGAUAUCAGAUUAGGUAGUUGGUGGGGUAAAGGCCUACCAAGCCUGCGAUCUGUAGUUGGUCUGAGAGGACGACCAGCCACACUGGGACUGAGACACGGCCCAGACUCCUACGGGAGUCAGCAGUGGGGAAUUUUGGACAAUGGGCGCAAGCCUGAUCCAGCAAUGCCGCGUGCAGGAAGAAGGCCUUCGGGUUGUAAACUGCUUUUGUCAGGGAAGAAAUCCUCUGGGUUAAUACCUCGGGGGGAUGACGGUACCUGAAGAAUAAGCACCGGCUAACUACGUGCCAGCCGCCGCAGUAAAAC
rnacentral:rRNA from 1 species